ACUCCUACGGGAGGCAGCAGUGGGGAAUAUUGCACAAUGGGCGCAAGCCUGAUGCAGCCAUGCCGCGUGUGUGAAGAAGGCCUUCGGGUUGUAAAGCACUUUCAGUCGUGAGGAAGGUGGUAGUGUUAAUAGCACUAUCAUUUGACGUUAGCGACAGAAGAAGCACCGGCUAACUCCGUGCCAGCAGCCGCGGUAAUACGGAGGGUGCGAGCGUUAAUCGGAAUUACUGGGCGUAAAGCGCAUGCAGGUGGUUGUUAAGUCAGAUGUGAAAGCCCGGGGCUCAACCUCGGAAUAGCAUUUGAAACUGGCAAACUAGAGUACUGUAGAGGGGGUAGAAUUUCAGGUGUAGCGGUGAAAUGCGUAGAGAUCUGAAGGAAUACCGGUGGCGAAGGCGGCCCCUGGACAGAUACUGACACUCAGAUGCGAAAGCGUGGGAGCAAACAGGAUUAGAUACCCCGUGGUAGGACGUGUAGACGU
rnacentral:rRNA from 1 species